UUGUUCAUGAAAAUAGUUACGAAGAGGAACACCAAGAAGCUCGACUUCUACCAACCUGUUGAACAAGCUGCAUUUAGAUCAGGAUUCAACACAAACGACCACUUACAUGUGAUGAGAACGCUAAUUGAGAAAUGCAAUGAAUACAAGAUUGCUGUGGUCUUGAUAUUCAUAGACUUUGAAAAAGCUUUUGAUUCAGUGGAAACAUGGUCGAUAUUGGACUCAUUAGACGAGUGCAGAGUAGACUCAAGAUACUCCAACACAAUUCGAUACGUCUAUAAAAACGCUACGUCGUGUAUAAAACUUCAUAAAAGCACUGAAAAAUUCAGAAUUGGCCGAGGUGUACGACAGGGUGACACCAUAUCACCUAAGCUAAACCCUGUUUGGCCCAAAAGCACAUUAAAUUACCUUUCUAAUGACACCCCA